CGAAUUUAAAAAAAUAAAGUUGAAUUAAAGUCCUAAUUGAAACACGCGUAAAACGAAAGGGACUAAUUGGGCAAAACACCCUAUUCCCAAAACGGCAGCGUUUUAAUUCUGUGUUAAAAAGGUUGGGGACCAAAUUGAAACCAAAAUAAAGAUAGUAGGAAAAAAUUAAAAGUUGCAAUAAACUUAAUUUAAAAGAUGAAAAGACGGAAGGACUAAAGGGAUAAAUAUUCCAUUUUCUUAAAACACGCGGACCCUCCGGGUCGGAUCGGGUUGGAUUUUGGGUUGUGGUAAAACGGCGCCAUUUUAGUGCUUAUUACCUUAAGCCAAAACGACGUUGUUUUCAUGAUGUUAUAUAAGUCAAAACUUUAACAAAAAAAAAAAAAAAAACAUUUGAGCCCUUUCUUUUAAAAAAAACCUUCAAACACUCCCUCUAAUUCUCUGUCCUCAUUCAAAUCCGGCCAUUGCUCAGGUGACGGACCACCGUACCGGCCACACCGCCGGCCACCAUGCACGUUGGCCGGAGCUCAAAGAAAUUUAAAAUUUCCGGCGGUUUUAAGGGUAAUCUUUCCUCCUUCUUCAAUACUGUUUCGCAUAUAAAAAAAAACUUCAAAAGAGAAAAGAAAACAAAUACGAGUUAUUUCUUAUCUUUGUUUUAAAAAAAUUUCGAUUGUGUUUUGUAUUUUGUACAUAUAAAAAUAAAAGAAAUAAUAAUAAGAAACCAAGGUAGAGAUUAGAUGAAGAAAAAUGAAAUCGGAAAUCACCUCUGAUUUUUAUUUUUCCGUUUUGAAUCUAUGCGUGUAUUCUCUUUAAAAAAAAAGAAGAAGAAGAUCCCCUUUUAAUUUUACAUCGUCUGGUUUUUAUAACCGAUUAAAAUAAUAGAAAAAUUCCUCUUGCCAUAUUUGCUAUUUAUUUCUUUCCUUUUGCAGGUUAACGACACGAAUCACCGCGACGGUGAGGGAACAGAUAACGGCUCGAUACGAGGCCUGUGAUGCUUGCGGGGCUGAAAGGUGCAGAAACCCUAGGGUUCCUGACCUAGGGUUAAGCAUUUGGGCUUUUGGGGUGCAGCUUAUUGGGUCUUAGGAGUAAGCUCUUUAAAAAUGGGUCUGUAAUGUAACGGGUUGGGUCUGCCGGGUAGUGUUGGUGUUUGGGUUUGAUUUAGGCUAAAGGGUAUUGGGUGUUGGGUUAUUUUUAGGGUGUAAAUGAGUCUGAUAAGUUUGGUCUGUUUGGAUUUGUGCUUCAGGUGUAUUUGGGGUUUUGGGUAGUAACAAUGGGUCUGCUGGUUUUUUAACAUUUGUAAAGACUGUUAAAAACUUUUAUUAUUAUUAUUUUUUGAUAUUUUGGACUAUGCCUUGGCUUCCAAUGGGCCGGGCAAAAUUGAGGUAUUACAAAUGUCAUUCGAGAAUUGGUUGAUAUUGAAGAGAGAAGAUUAAAUGAAGAUUUUUAGAUGGGAUAAGUUCUUCUUGGUCCUCGUCUUGUUGGGAUUUUUUGGCCCAACAUAUUUUCAAUGGUGAUGAUUUUAUUGCUCAAUUUGCCUUAUUUUGUUGGUUAUUUUUGGUGCGAGAGCUACUUCUUUUGUGUUUCUUCGACUUGAUAACGUUUUUGAUUGGUAUAUUUUAUUAUAGGGAUAAGGUUGUCAAGAAAUUGUAAGUAGGUGUGUUUAUAUUUCGAUUAAAAUUAAAUUAAUUAAUCAACAUCGAUCUAAUUCGGUUAAUCAGUCGGUAGUUAAAUUUAGUUUGGUCGAAAGUCGGUUAAUGAUUUUUUGAAAUUUCAGUUAUUGGUUAAUUUGGUUCGAAAUUGGAUAAUUAACCGAAUU
rnacentral:lncRNA from 1 species